UGGCGGACGGGUGAGUAAUGUCUGGGAAACUGCCUGAGUGAGGGGGAUAACUACUGGAAACGGUAGCUAAUACCGCAUAACGUCGCAAGACCAAANAGGGGGACCUUCGGGCCUCUUGCCAUCGGAUGUGCCCAGAUGGGAUUAGCUAGUAGGUGGGGUAACGGCUCACCUAGGCGACGAUCCCUAGCUGGUCUGAGAGGAUGACCAGCCACACUGGAACUGAGACACGGUCCAGACUCCUACGGGAGGCAGCAU
rnacentral:rRNA from 1 species